CAAAAAAGUUAUAGUACAUACCUAAUUUACCUUAUAUCGAUAAUUUUUCAAGAGUGGAGAGAAUUUUUGUGGAGAAAAAUUAGGCAAAUCUCCCUCUUUUGAGCUAGGUGAAGAAAUUUCAUGAUCUGAACAAUUUAUUUUUGACCCGCUAAAACCUUUUCCUAUUUUGUUUUUCGGAGUCACUUUCCCUUCCCUCCUCACAAACGGGUCUAAAUAAAACUCGGAAGUCCGAGCUCGUUCACCAGAGAAGGGAACCCACUUUGCCUCUGUAUUCAAAAACCAGUCGUCUCUCUCAGAAAUUUGGAAAGUGAAAAUGGUGGUUUGCUAUCCCUCCACACCGAAGAAGAAAGCUUUGGCUGUGGGAUUUUUCAUUUCGGCUGCUGCUCUUUUCGCUUACGGUGUGCAUCUCUCCUAUGUCAACGUUGCGCCUCAGCAAGCUCGAACCAAAGCUCGAAAUGAGUUUGUUAGAGAACGAUUGAAACAGAAAUAUGGGAAAUGAGCACGCAGGUUGCGAUGUCAGAGUUCAGGUUGUCGGAUCAUUUUGUCAUGCUUAUGAGUUUUAUCCCUUGUGAUCACCAAUUCUGGGAUGAUACAGAAUGCUCGUGAUCAUGAUUUGAUUGCCAUGAUGUUCUACAAUUACCUGAAGGAAAGGACUAGUUUUAUACUCCUGUACUGUCACUAACAUUGUAAGAUUUGAUUCUAUGCAACUGGUAAGUUUGGCUUCGUGUAAACUUCCCUAUAUAUGAACAUCUUUCCCCCAUUUUCUUUUAUGACUAUGUUGGUCUAUUCUGUACAGUGGCCUCAUGGGACUGCUAAAAGAAUGAAAUUAGGAUGAUUUGCUUCAUUCUUGGAUAAUA